UAUUGAGUUUAGAGUGAAGCUUAUUUCUACCAUUCCCGAUGCUUGGAACUUAGACAUUAAUUCUUGUCAGGAGGUAGAAAGUGUUGAUGUACCGCAACAACGUGGUAGUAUGGAUUGCGGGGUGUUCUUGAUGGCGUACAUGUUUAGCCUCGUUUCCGGUCAACCAGUUUCAAUUCACCAGAAGGAUUGUGCAAGACAUAGAGCUCGCAUUGUUGCUCUAAUUCUAUCUGAAGGAAAUCAACCAUCAUGACCCUCAAGAAUGCUACAUGCCAUAUUUGUUCUUUUGAUCCACUUAUACUCAGUGUGUUGUAUUGUUCUUGUCAGGAUGCUACAUUGCC